rnacentral:rRNA from 1 species
AGUGAACGCUGGCGGCAGGCCUAACACAUGCAAGUCGAGCGGCAGCGGGUUCCCGCGAGGGGAUGCCGGCGAGCGGCGGACGGGUGAGGAACACAUCGGAAUCUGCCUGGUUGUGGGGGAUAACGUAGGGAAACUUACGCUAAUACCGCAUGAGACCCUGAGUCGACGGACUGGGGGUNAAAGUGAGGGACCUUCGGGCCUCACGCGACCAGAUGAGCCGAUGUCGGAUUAGCUAGUUGGCGGGGUAACGGCCCGCCAAGGCGACGAUCCGUAGCUGGUCUGAGAGGAUGAUCAGCCACACUGGGACUGAGACACGGCCCAGACUCCUACGGGAGGCAGCAGUGGGGAAUCUUGGACAAUGGGCGCAAGCCUGAUCCAGCCCAUGCCGCGUGGGUGAAG